rnacentral:rRNA from 1 species
GCUUAGAGUUUGAUCCUGGCUCAGAGCGAACGCUGGCGGCAGGCUUAACACAUGCAAGUCGAGCGGGCGUAGCAAUACGUCAGCGGCAGACGGGUGAGUAACGCGUGGGAACAUACCUUUUGGUUCGGAACAACACAGGGAAACUUGUGCUAAUACCGGAUAAGCCCUUACGGGGAAAGAUUUAUCGCCGAAAGAUUGGCCCGCGUCUGAUUAGCUAGUUGGUGAGGUAACGGCUCACCAAGGCGACGAUCAGUAGCUGGUCUGAGAGGAUGAUCAGCCACAUUGGGACUGAGACACGGCCCAAACUCCUACGGGAGGCAGCAGUGGGGAAUAUUGGACAAUGGGGGCAACCCUGAUCCAGCCAUGCCGCGUGAGUGAUGAAGGCCCUAGGGUUGUAAAGCUCUUUUGUGCGGGAAGAUAAUGACGGUACCGCAAGAAUAAGCCCCGGCUAACUUCGUGCCAGCAGCCGCGGUACGCC